AUAAAAUAAUGUGUUCAAAUGUCAGUGAAAAGAAACAAUUAGCAAACAUGAAGACAAAUUUUUCACUGAACAA